GAACGGGAAGAAUAAGUNGGGGACAAUACCCCCUAUGAUGACGGUACCGUUUGUAAGCUCCGGCUAACUCCGUGCCAGCAGCCGCGGUAAUACGGGGGGAGCAAGCGUUGUUCGGAUUUACUGGGCGUNAAGGGCGCGUAGGCGGCCAGCACAAGUCANUUGUGAAAUCUCCGANCUUAACUCGGAAAGGUCAACUGAUACUGUGNGGCUAGAGUGNGGAAGGGGCAACUGGAAUUCUUGGUGUAGCGGUGAAAUGCGUAGAUAUCAAGAGGAACACCUGCGGCGAAGGCGGGUUGCUGGGCCGACACUGACGCUGAGGCGCGAAAGCUAGGGGAGCGAACGGGAUUAGAUACCCCGGUAGUCCUAGCCUUAAACGAUGAAUGCUUGGUGUCUGGGGUUAUAAAGUCCCCGGGUGCCGUC
rnacentral:rRNA from 1 species